UCAGCGGUGGCUCUAGCAAAAGGGAAACCCGCUGUCCAGUGGCUAUUUCGCAGUUGCGGUAGCCUAUAGUAUUUUAGUGAGCGUGUAGAAAUACAAGUGAAGAUACCUUGGAGUAAAACUGAACCGUACGACCGUGUAGCCUACUUUUUUUCUGCAAUGGCUGAUCAUCAUCUUUUACAUUAUAGCGACUCAGCUGCGGUUGGGAACCGUUUCGCCCGCAAAGGUGCUCUGCGGCAGAAAAACGUGCAUGAAGUCAAAAAUCACAAAUUUACUGCCAGGUUUUUCAAGCAACCGACAUUCUGCAGUCAUUGCACAGACUUCAUAUGGGGAUUUGGGAAACAAGGAUUCCAGUGCCAAGAUUUCCUCCUCUUCGUCUGAAGAGGAGUACGGAUCGGACCAAUAUGCGGCGUGUCUCCCUUUGUCUCGCCCUCCUGGUGUGGACCCUUGCCUUUUCUGACUCUGAGCCCGCCUGCCUGACCACCUGCCUGGCCCUGACCCUGAGCCUUCCUGCUGUCUUGUACCUUUGCCCAUACUCUGGAUUACCGACCUCUGCCUGACCUGACCUGUUGUUUGCCUGCCCCUGUUGCUGUAA